UUCGCAAUGCCCGAAAGGGUGACGAAGCGACGCCGCGUGUGGGAAGAAGGCCUUCGGGUUGUAAACCACUGUCGGGAGUUAAGAAAUGUAAGGGUGUUAAUAGCAUCCUUACUUGACUAAGGCUCCGGAGGAAGCCACGGCUAACUCUGUGCCAGCAGCCGCGGUAAUACAGAGGCGGCAAGCGUUGUUCGGAAUUAUUGGGCGUAAAGAGCACGUAGGCGGCCUUGUAAGUCAGUUGUGAAAGCCUUCUGCUUAACGGAAGAACAGCAUCUGAUACUGCAAGGCUAGAGUGCGGAAGGGGAGAGUGGAACUUCUGGUGGAGCGGUGAAAUGCGUAGAUAUCAGAAGGAACGCCGGCGGCGAAAGCGGCUCUCUGGACCGUAACUGACGCUGAGUGUGCGAAAGCUAGGGGAGCAAACGGGAUUAGAUACCCCGGUAGUCCUAGCCGUAAACGAUGGGCACUAAGUAGAGGGGUUUU
rnacentral:rRNA from 1 species